rnacentral:rRNA from 1 species
CAGCAGCCGCGGUAAUACGGAGGAUCCAAGCGUUAUCCGGAAUCAUUGGGUUUAAAGGGUCCGUAGGUGGAUGAUUAAGUCAGAGGUGAAAUCCUGCAGCUCAACUGUAGAAUUGCCUUUGAUACUGGUUGUCUUGAGUUAUUAUGAAGUAGAUAGAAUAUGUAGUGUAGCGGUGAAAUGCAUAGAUAUUACAUAGAAUACCAAUUGCGAAGGCAGAUUACUAAUAAUAUACUGACGCUGAUGGACGAAAGCGUGGGGAGCGAACAGGAUUAGAUACCCUGGUAGUCCACGCCGUAAACGAUGGUCACUAGCUGUUCGAACCUUGGUUUGAGUGGCUAAGCGAAAGUGAUAAGUGACCCACCUGGGGAGUACGUUCGCAAGAAUGAAACUCAAAGGAAUUGACGGGGGCCCGCACAAGCGGUGGAGCAUGUGGUUUAAUUCGAUGAUACGCGAGGAACCUUACCUGGGCUUAAAUGUAGAUUGACAGGCUUAGAGAUAGAUUUUCCGCAAGGACAAUUUACAAGGUGCUGCAUGGUUGUCGUCAGCUCGUGCCGUGAGGUGUCAGGUUAAGUCCUAUAACGAGCGCAACCCCUCUCGUUAGUUGCCAGCGAGUAAUGUCGGGAACUCUAACGAGACUGCCAGUGCAAACUGAGAGGAAGGUGGGGAUGACGUCAAAUCAUCACGGCCCUUACGUCCUGGGGUACACACGUGCUACAAUGGUGGGGACAGA